GUGCUUGCUUCGGCAGCACAUACACUAAAAUUGCAAUGAUACAGAGAAGAUUAGCCUGGCCCCUGUGUAAGGAUGACGUGCAAGGUCGUGAAGCAUUCCGUAUUUUU
ensembl:snRNA U6 U6 spliceosomal RNA